rnacentral:rRNA from 1 species
UGCGCAGGUGGGUUGGCAAGUUUGACGUGAAAGCCCCGGGCUUAACCCGGGAAUGGCGUUGAAAACUGCUGAUCUGGAGGAUCGGAGGGGGGACGUGGAAUUCUUGGUGUAGCAGUGAAAUGCGUAGAUAUCAAGAGGAACACCAGUGGCGAAGGCGAGUCCCUGGACGAUACCUGACACUGAGGCACGAAAGCCAAGGGAGCAAACA